GUGCUUAAUAGGGUAUACAUGUCAUAUUAAAACGAGAAAAUAGGUUAUAUUUGCAGAAAUUGAAGAUGUAACAUUUUGUGUCAUAAAUGUUACAUCCAAAAAAUGUUACUUAAAACAGCUUUGAGAUGUUCCCUGUCAAAAACAUGCAGAUUUACCCGGAGAUAAACUGUUCCAACAUUCGGGUAUAAUGUUGUGCAUGGACGGUUUUUCCUAGAAGUACUUCAAAUACGCAAGUGUUGGACAUCCAUGAAAAUAGUGUCAAUUUGUUACAUCUUAUAUACAACACUAAUAAAUUAAAUAAAAGAGAACCAAUUAACAUAAUAGCAAUAUUCAAUUGAUGUUUUGAAAAAUUUAUGACAUAAUGUCAUACUAAUGUACAACCAUAUUCAACACAUGCAGUCUUUUCAACUUUCAAUGGAAGAAAACAAGGUUGCAAAAUUGAAGGAAGUGCAAACCAGACAUUAGUUACAUCAUGUACAUGAAAUAUUUCAGUUAUAUUUACCACAUAAAUAUACAUGUAAUGAAGGAUUACUGUGAUUAAUUUUGUUAUUUCUAAAUCUGAUAUCAUCAAGAUUGUUAACCUGACAAAUUUGGUACGGCUAAGUUUGAUGUAAACAGAUUUAUGAUAGAUGAAGAAUGGUACAACCAUUUCGCUGCAAUAAGUCCGUGUAGAAUAUGGUUUCAUUGUUACACCCUUGAAUUGUUUGUCAAAAUUUAGGCUAAUGAAAAAUUCAUGAAUAAAAGUAACCCAAUUUACACACGGAGAUUAGUUCACAUUGCACCACAAUAUUAAUACUAGGAAAGGUCCAUGAAAAGAUAAGCUAAUAUAGAUACUGCAGUAUAUGGUGUAACACUGAAACUAAAUCAAUUUUUGAUGUAACAAAGAC
rnacentral:lncRNA from 1 species